rnacentral:misc_RNA from 1 species
GAUGAAGAACGCAGCAAAAUGCGAUAAGUAAUGUGAAUUGCAGAAUUCAGUGAAUCAUCGAAUCUUUGAACGCACAUUGCGCCCGCUGGUAUUCCGGCGGGCAUGCCUGUUCGAGCGUCAUUUCAACCCUCAAGCCCCCGGGUUUGGUGUUGGGGAUCGGCUCUGCCCUCUGGGCGGUGCCGCCCCCGAAAUACAUUGGCGGUCUCGCUGCAGCCUCCAUUGCGUAGUAGCUAACACCUCGCAACUGGAACGCGGCGCGGCCAUGCCGUAAAACCCCAACUUCUGAAUGUUGACCUCGGAUCAGGUAGGAAUACCCGCUGAACUUAAGCAUAUCAAUAAGCGGAGGG